rnacentral:rRNA from 1 species
UCCUCCCUCUUUCGGCGUGCUUAACACAUGCAAGUCGUACGGUAAGGCCCUUUCGGGGGUCCACGAGUGGCGCACGGGUGAGUAACACGUGAGUAACCUGCCCACAACUUUGGGAUAACGCUAGGAAACUGGUGCUAAUACUGGAUAUGUGCUCCUGCUGCAUGGUGGGGGUUGGAAAGCUCCGGCGGUUGUGGAUGGACUCGCGGCCUAUCAGCUUGUUGGUGGGGUAGUGGCCUACCAAGGCGGCGACGGGUAGCCGGCCUGAGAGGGUGACCGGCCACAUUGGGACUGAGAUACGGCCCAGACUCCUACGGGAGGCAGCAGUGGGGAAUAUUGCACAAUGGGCGCAAGCCUGAUGCAGCAACGCCGCGUGCGGGAUGACGGCCUUCGGGUUGUAAACCGCUUUCAGCAGGGACGAAGCUUUUUGUGACGGUACCUGCAGAAGAAGCACCGGCUAACUACGUG